GUGCCAGCAGCCGCGCGGUAAUACGGAGGGUGCAAGCGUUACUCGGAAUCACUGGGCGUAAAGCGCGCGCAGGCGGCUAGAUAAGUUGGAAGUGAAAUCCUAUGGCUCAACCAUAGAACUGCUUCCAAAACUGUUUAGCUAGAGUCUGGGAGGGGAAGAUGGAAUUAGUAGUGUAGGGGUAAAAUCCGUAGAGAUUACUAGGAAUACCAAAAGCGAAGGCGAUCUUCUGGAACAGUACUGACGCUGAGGCGCGAAAGCGUGGGGAGCAAACAGGAUUAGAUACCCUGGUAGUCCACGCCCUAAACGAUGAAUGUUAGUCGUCGGGACUCUAGUAGUUUCGGUGAUGCAGUUAACACAUUAAACAUUCCGCCUGGGGAGUACGGUCGCAAGAUUAAAACUCAAAGGAAUAGACGGGGACCCGCACAAGUGGUGGAGCAUGUGGUUUAAUUCGAAGAUACGCGAAGAACCUUACCUAGCCUUGACAUAUUUUAGAACUCCGCAGAGAUGUAGAGGUGCCUUCGGGAGCUAAUAUACAGGUGCUGCACGGCUGUCGUCAGCUCGUGUCGUGAGAUGUUGGGUUAAGUCCCGCAACGAGCGCAACCCUCGUUCUUAGUUACUAACGGUUCGGCCGAGGACUCUAAGAAGACUGCCUUCGUAAGGAGGAGGAAGGUGAGGACGACGUCAAGUCAUCAUGGCCCUUACGGCUAGGGCAACACACGUGCUACAAUGGUUAGGACAAUGAGACGCAAUACCGCGAGGUGGAGCAAAUCUAUAAACCUAAUCUCAGUUCGGAUUGUAGUCUGCAACUCGACUACAUGAAGCUGGAAUCACUAGUAAUCGUAGAUCAGCUAUGCUACGG
rnacentral:rRNA from 1 species